UAAACGCCUGCAAAUAUGUGUGCACCUACC
rnacentral:piRNA from 1 species